rnacentral:lncRNA from 1 species
GCUGGAGUCAUGUGGCCAAAAAAGUGGUGAUGAAUGAUUGCUCCAGCUGCCUAUGCCCACCUCCAAGAUUUAAAGCAACCCAGCAAACAGGGCAUGAAAAUAUAGACCACUGGCGCGGAGUUAAGUGUUCAACAAAUGGCCAGCAAAGGGGCAACUGUGUAGUUGCAGAAAGAUAAUCUGGAAUAACGCCUUCUCUAUAGACUGAGUCAGUUCCAGGUGGAUCAAUCAUUAAUUGUGGAAGACUGGAAGUCUACCUGUCCAUCAGCAGAGAAACGGUCAAUUGCCACAUAUCCCUGCAGUAAAAAUGUCAUGGAGUCUGCAAAAGAAAAAACAGCCUGGGACUCUGAAUAUCUUCUGGAUAUAUUAAGUAAAAAAAAAGAAGAGCAAAGUACAGUACCGUAAAUCUGUUCAUACUGC